rnacentral:rRNA from 1 species
CCUACGGGUGGCAGCAGUCGAGAAUCUUUCACAAUGGGGGCAACCCUGAUGGAGCGACGCCGCGUGGAGGAUAAGGUCUUCGGAUUGUAAACUCCUGUCAUGCGAGAACAAGGUUGCAGGGCUAACACCUUUGCAAAUUGAUGGUACCGCAAGAGGAAGAGACGGCUAACUCUGUGCCAGCAGCCGCGGUAAUACAGAGGUCUCAAGCGUUGUUCGGAAUCACGCGGAGGUGAGGGUGUGUGUGUGGCGUGAAAGCCCGGGGAUCAACCUCGGAAUUGCAUCCGAUACUGCCAGGCUGGAGUACUGAAGAGGUGACUAGAAUUCUAGGUGUAGCAGUGAAAUGCGUAGAUAUCUAGAGGAAUACCAACGGCGAAGGCAGGUCACUGGGCAGUUACUGACACUGAGGCACGAAGGCCAGGGGAGCAAACGGGAUUAGAUACCCCUGUAGUC